rnacentral:rRNA from 1 species
AGUGAACGCUGGCGGUAGGCCUAACACAUGCAAGUCGAACGGCAGCACAGUAAGAUCUUGCUCUUACGGGUGGCGAGUGGCGGACGGGUGAGGAAUACAUCGGAAUCUACUUUUUCGUGGGGGAUAACGUAGGGAAACUUACGCUAAUACCGCAUACGACCUACGGGUGAAAGCAGGGGAUCGUCGGACCUUUCGCGAUUGAAUGAGCCGAUGUCGGAUUAGCUAGUUGGCGGGUUAAAGGCCCACCAAGGCGACGAUCCGUAGCUGGUCUGAGAGGAUGAUCGGCCACACUGGAACUGAGACACGGUCCAGACUCCUACGGGAGGCAGCAGUGGGGAAUAGUGGACAAUGGGCGCAAGCCUGAUCCAGCCAUACCGCGUGGGUGAAGAAGGCCUUCGGGUUGUAAAGCCCUUUUGUUGGGAAAGAAAAGCAGCAGGUUAAUACCCCGCUGUUCUGACGGUACCCAAAGAAUAAGCACCGGCUAACUUCGUG